UGCUUGAUAGCUCAGAUGGUAAGAGCAUUGCACCAGCAGUGCAAGGUCAUGGGUUCGAAUCUUUUAAACAU
rnacentral:tRNA from 1 species